GGGUCAGAUGCCAGUUCCGAGCCUUCGGAGUUUGGAGGGAAAAAUGAUAAACUUGGUGGACAGGAAGUACAAAACUGGAAUUUGCUGAGACUGUUACCUGUGGUAGUAGGUGACAGAAUAUUAAACUACAGUGAUUCGGUUUGGCAGCUUGUACUGCAGCUUAGAGAAAUUGUAGCGUUAGUAUGUGCACCACAGAUAUCUACUGCACAGGUUGCAUACUUGGAAGUGAUUAUAAUGGAAUACCUUGAAAUGAGAAAAGAGUUAUUUCCUGAAAAGCCUCUGAAACCAAAGCACCAUUACUUUAGGCAUUAUGCUGCUUUAAUUCUUAAAUUUGGUCCACUUAUACACUUAUGGACAAUGAGAUUUGAAAGUAAACAUUCCUAUUUUAAGAGGUGUGCCAGAUGUUUUCAGAAUUUCAAGAACAUUUGUCAAAGCCUUGCUGAACAUCAUCAACUACUUCAAGCCUAUCUUUUUUCUGGGACUUUCUUUUCUGCUGACUUAGAAAUAAGGAAAAGUAUUCCUUUUUGUGCCAAUUUGUACAAUGAAACUACUACUUAGAUCACUGGGGGGCCUUGAUUUUGAUGAGACAGAUACAGUUCUGUCAGAGGAGGUGCAAUUUAAAGGUAUAUUAUACAAAAAAGGAUUUUUCUUGAUUCUAAAUAAAGAUUCAGAUUUGGAAUUUGGUGAAAUUGAGAUAAUGGUAAUCAAGGAUAGUAAAAACCUGCAUUUUUUUUGUUAGAAAAUAUUAUUCUGCAUUUUUACCACAUCUUGGUUUGUUUCAGAUAUACCAGGACGCUGAGUGUACACAGUCUGUCCCUUUUGAAUGUCUUGGUGACUUUUAUCCUUUGCCAGCUUACAGAAGUCAUGGAACUUCCAUCAUUUGCCUGAAACACAUGCCAUUAUCAGUUUAAUUUUUUUAUUUUAAAUCACACGGGAGAUGUACAAUAUAUUGUUUAUACUGUUUGUAAAUAUACUUUUUUUGACAGAUUAGAAAACAUACCUUUCUUUACAGUUACAAAUAUGGAACAGGACAGAAAUUGCACUCAGUUGUAUGCUUUCAUCAGAUCAGUUUUCCCUAAUUUGAACAAUGAAGAUUUGAAAGUUAUUGUAGAGAAGAUUCAGGAUUUGGGAGUAUACCACACGGAAGAUGUCAAGUACAAAAAAGAGGAAGAACUACUUGGUGUUCUGAAACCAGUUCAAGCAUGGAAAUUGAUUUCUAGCAAUUUAGUCACAAGUGAAUAUUUUAAUCCCAAUCCCUGUGGUUAUUCACCCCCUGUCACUGAAAUGUCUCCGUCUAGUUCGUGUUGUUCAAACAUUAGUGGAGGUGGAGUAGACUCUGGUACCAUUAGUAACAGCUGGAUAAAUGACUUUUGCAUACCGUGGACAAAACUGCCAUCUGAUUUAAUGGGAUAUUUGGAAAGAGGAGAGAGACUGCCUCCAAAAAGGUGAAGAGAACUGAUUAGAAUUGUGAUAAAUGAAGUAAUGGCAGUGUGUAAGAUGCCAUUGAAAAGACACUUAAUACACAUAGCGGCAAAGAUGGUUAAUAAAUACCCAAGGUCAUUAAAGGAUGUGAUUGAAGGAGAAAUUAUUGGUAGUGGAUAUGACUCCUUACUAAAACAGCUUCAUGCAAGAGCAGAAAAUGUUAAACGGGAUGACCACGCAAAAAGUAAAAGGAAGAAAGCAACAUCCAGUGGAAGUGAUACUGAUGAAGUUUCACCACAUCAGCAUGCCUGCAUACAAGACACGUAUGGUUAUGUGAAUUGGUGUCCUGAUCAGAUGCCACUGGGAGAAACAGUAGAAACCCAAAAAUGUCAUAAGAGAGAACUGAAGAAACUGUUUCUUGAGGGAAUUCAAGAUUCAUCAAUUAUAUCCCUGAAAAUGGUGGUAACAUAUUAAUGUGCAGAGAAAGGAUAUAAUUAACAAUGUGGCAGUGGAAACGCUUAAAACAGAAUGGCCUUUCCUUUUUGAGAAAAUUGGUAUUAUAGUUCACUUUAAGCAAUUAACUGGAAUUCAUUUAGAAGAAACAAUGAGGGAAUCCUUUUCAAGUAAAGGAAAGAGAGUACUGGCUUACAUGAGAAGCCUUGGAAGUGAUAAGACACAGAAAAGUUGUUGAAGUAAAUGCCUUGUUGAAGACUGCUGAAAAAGCAACAUGCAGCAAGCUACAUGAGGUUCUGGGCACAGUCUUGCUCCUUUUUGCAUACUUCAAUGAAAACAAAAAUCUGAUGUUCUACCAAGUCAGUGACACAUGCUUAGCAAAUGAGGUAUCUGUGUCUGCUCUUCCAGCAUCACCGUGUAUCAUUUUUUGUGGAGACUCUCUGCUGACUGCAAGUUGCUUCAUGUUAAGUGUUGAUAAAAAUGUUGUCAAAGAGAAUAUUCCAGUAUUUUUAGAGGCCUUCGAGAUGAUGUUUGCUGCUUACUACAUUUUCAAUAUUCAGUAUCCAUCUGAUGUAGGAUCAACACUAGAAUUCAUACAAAGGCAAGUUUUAGUAAAACUCUAUAGGUAGCUUAUGCAUUUCAGUUGUUUAAUGGCAUUAUUAAUUACAUAUAUGUGUUUGUGUGUAUGUUUGUAGGUUUGUAAUAGGUGGUCUGAUAUAAUUGAUAUCAUUGUAUGUGGAUGGUCAGUUUUCAGACAUUGGCUGUACUGGAAAGUUACAAGCACCUUGUGGUGUGACCGAUGCAGAAGCAAUGUUCAAGAAUUAACAACUGUACUGGUAUCAUGUGUCUUAUUAUAUUUUCACUUUGACUGAAUCUGCCAUUAGUUCUAGAUUCCCAAGUAUAAAACAUUGCAAA